UCCAUAUCUGUCUGUCCAUCCAUC
rnacentral:piRNA from 1 species